UCCAUUCCUCCCUCUCCCUCAGGGCAGAGUUGUGGGAUGCACCACUGGGCGGUUCUCCCCAGCUGCAGGCAAUCUGCUGUUCACACACCUGUCUCCUGUGAUCAUCAGGACUGGCUUUUAUACUCUGCCAUCUCCUCACUUCCCUGCUGGAUUAUUGAGUCAUGUUUUGUUUCUGGAGACCCUGCUCAGCUUCCGUGCCACUCUGCCUACGGAGGAUGCCUUGCUGGAAACUCACCUGCGUGGACUUACGUCUCCGUCAGCUCCGCCUCACCAGCAUCACCUGACCUCACCCUUACCUGCCAUUCCAUGCCACACCAGAGGAACCAUUCCCCUAGCAUCAAGCCUGUUUCACCAUAUCUUGGGUUUCAAUAAACUGUGUAAAAAUUCU